CGUAGGGUGCAAGCGUUAAUCGGAAUUACUGGGCGUAAAGCGUGCGCAGGCGGUUAUGUAAGACAGUUGUGAAAUCCCCGGGCUCAACCUGGGAACUGCAUCUGUGACUGCAUAGCUAGAGUACGGUAGAGGGGGAUGGAAUUCCGCGUGUAGCAGUGAAAUGCGUAGAUAUGCGGAGGAACACCGAUGGCGAAGGCAAUCCCCUGGACCUGUACUGACGCUCAUGCACGAAAGCGUGGGGAGCAAACAGGAUUAGAUACCCUGGUAGUCCACGCCCUAAGCGAUGUCAACUGGUUGUUGGGUCUUCACUGACUCAGUAACGAAGCUAACGCGUGAAGUUGACCGCCUGGGGAGUACGGCCGCAAGGUUG
rnacentral:rRNA from 1 species